rnacentral:rRNA from 1 species
UACGUAGGGGGCAAGCGUUGUCCGGAUUUAUUGGGCGUAAAGAGCGUGUAGGCGGCCGUACAGGUCAGCUGUGAAAACUCGAGGCUCAACCUCGAGACGUCGGUUGAAACCGUACGGCUAGAGUCCGGAAGAGGAGAGUGGAAUUCCCGGUGUAGCGGUGAAAUGCGCAGAUAUCGGGAAGAACACCCGUGGCGAAGGCGGCUCUCUGGGACGGUACUGACGCUGAGGCACGAAAGCUAGGGGAGCAAACAGG